UUCUCUUUCAUAUUUGGACACCACAGUUUAUUGACUUUCUUAUUUUAACACUGAAACUUCUAUUUCUCAGAGGAAGCACAAAUCGUCUUAUAUUUUCUCAUCCUUAUCUUUUGUUCCUCAAACCCGGUUGCCGCCCUUCUCCUCCAAUACUGUUCAUUUGCGUUCUUAUUAAUUUUUUUUUCCGUUCUUCUAACCCUAGAACCAACCAGCGGAGGUACCUUGUCUUCUUUUCAUCCGGUAGACCGUUGGGACAGAAGGUAGUCACGAGCAGCAACAACAGCAGGCAAAUGGCGGCAAUAAGUGGCGUUGAGUGGAAGUGGGUGGCUCCGCUGCUCCCUUCCUUGCAUCCGUCUGUCAAGAAUGGUAAAUCCAGAUGAGGUUGAAAUUUCACGUGGUGGAAUUUUGGAAGUCAUCACCACUCUAUAUGCUAAAAUUUCACCGUUCUUUGAAAAAGAAACCCCUGAAGCGUCCGCGAAUAACCAUGAAGACCAACAAGUCGUCGGUUUCUUCCAAUUUUGUUGUCUUUGGAGUUUAGUUAUUUGCUUUGAAAUUGGUUUAACAAAUUUGAAGAAAUUUGUUUUGGGUUAUCUUUAAUUAACUCUAUCUAUUGGAUUUCCAUCUGAAAUUGGUACUAAGAUUAAAUUGUUUGUUUGUAUUGAUUCUCAUGAUUUCAAUUUUUUUUUGGUUCUUCAAUGAUACAGAGGUUAGCUGAUAUGAAAAUGUUAGCAUAUAUUUUUUUUGGGUUAUCUUUAAUUAGGUGUGUCAAUUGGAUUUCCAUAUGAAAUUGGUACUAAGAUUAAAUUGUUUAUUUGUAUUGAUUCUCAUGAUUUCAAUUUUUUUUUUUGUUCUUCAAGGAUACAGGAUACAGAGGUUAGCUGAUAUGAAAAGGUUAGCAUAUAUGAAUCAAACGGUAAAACUUGCAAAAAUUGGAUUGUUUAUUUCUCUUUUAAAUAAUUUGCAAAAAUAGCUCAUUGUUAUACUGUGGAGUCCAUUCAGAUCAUUGUCUGUUGAAUUGGAGGCUUUUAUACUUAUAAAGCUUUUCGUCUCAAAUAGAAUUCGCUAUUUAGAAAAUGUAGCAGCAAAACAGCUCCAGUGAGAUUUUUUUUUUAGUUUUUUCGGAUAAGAAAGUAAAAAUAAAAUUCCAUUGUAUCAUUUCAUCAAACACUUGGCUUUUAAUUUUUUUUAUAGCAGCCUAACAAUGGGAAGAAAGAUUACAAGUUUGGGUUUAGGUUCAUUGUACAUUCUUAUAAUUAUAUAUUAAAAAUGAUUUUUAAUUUUUUUUAUUGAUUUAUUUAUGUAUUUUAGAUGCUUAAUUAUUUGUCGAUUUCUAUGGAUGAUGAUACUUCGUAGGCUUUAAUACUGGCUGCACUCUCUGAUUCGGUGACCUUCCUACUUCAUUUGUGUUGUAGAUGUGAAAAAUUACUGAUUUACCCUUUUCACAUCUGGAUAUGAACCCCUGGAUGUUGGGACAAGACUUCAUGCUAUAGAAGGAUCAUCUUGCUAAGAAAUCAAGGAUGAGAUUUCUCUCUUUCGCGACAUGAUUUUUUGCUUCUCAAGUUAAAACAUCUUUGAAAAAAAAAUAUAAUUGUUUGUGCUUAUCUCUUUUGAUUCUCAAGUUUUUGUUUUCCUAAACGAAUCCGGUGUUAGAGCUUAAAAUAAGGAAAAAAAAAUGAACACAGCGCCAACGGCGCGCAUGAUUCCCCUCUAGUUUAUAUGUAAAGACUAAAAACAAUUAUUUUCAAUAGAUAAAUUAAAUAUC